GCAUGUGAUGAGCAGUAUUUCUUCACUUUGACCUGAUUACAUUUUGAAGAAAAAGUGCAUCUGAUG